rnacentral:tRNA from 1 species
AAAUUAUAACUUAAUUAAAGUAUUUUAUUUACAUUAAAAUUAUAUUGUUUAAAUCAAUUAAUUUGA